rnacentral:pre_miRNA from 1 species
CAAGUACUCCCUUCGUUCGGAAUUACUUGUCGAAGAAAUGGAUGUAUCUAGACGUAUUUUAGUUCUAGAUACAUCCAUUUCCGAGACAAGUAAUUCCGAACGGAGGGAGUACACC